GUGUCCUGGGUCCUUUCCCAAAGAUGUGACAGGGCUGGGCUGUGCUGCACAUAGCCUCCCUUUUUCUCGCUCCUGCUUAAGGGCUACAGGUUCCCUGGCAGUGCCAGGCAUGCGUCAGGGUGAGGAGUCCAGGCUCCAGGGACAGGUCUGUGUGACCUGGUCCCCUUCAGGCCUGCCAGGCUGGCACACAAGCUCUUGAUUUCGUCGUCAGGGAAACCAAGUCUUUCUGCAGACGUCAUUCCUGUCCUUGGGGUGAUAAGGGCGCGUCACGUCUGUCGUUCUGCCACUUGUCAUGCUCUGAUAAGGCAUAGCAUCUGCUUGUCCUUGGAGGGCAAGAUAAAUUUAGAUGUGGCGGAUUUAGAACAUCAGGUGACCUGUUUGCACUUAGGAGCUGUAGCUCUUAGGAGGGAGAGGGUGGCCUGGCUGGUCCGACAGUGUGAUGGGCAUUAGUCUCCUCACCUCCACCAAGACUGGCAGCCACUUGAAGAAAAGGGCUGGAUCCUUGGCGCCCAGCCCAAGCUUGGCUGCAAGCAAGAUGCUCGGACAUCCUGGUUGGUGGGUUUUCAGGUUUGGAGCUUCUUAGGGAUUUUGCAAAUGAUCAGAAAUUGUGACUUUCAAAGGCUGCUCUACAGGGAGCACAAGAGAUCCAGAGCAGGCUUCUCUGGAUGAGAGUUUCUUUUUACCUUUACUUUUGGGGCUUCUGUGUAAGACUUUAUUCCAGAGUUAAAACCAAGUUUGAAAUCCACUGCUCUAGGCCAGGUCUUCCAUUUUCCAGAUAAGUAAACUGAGUCCCAGAGAGACAAGUGACUUGCCAAGGCUCCCCCAUGACCUGACUUCAGGGCAGGCACUUUUCCCUCACAGUCUUACUUGGCUCAGGCUACCAUAGGAAAAUGCCAUAGACUGGAGGGCUUACACAACAGAAAUGUAUUGUUUCCCUGUCCUGGAGGCUGGAAGUCCAAGAGCAAAGUGUCAGCAGUAUUGUUUCCUUCUGAGCGCCCUGAGGGAGAAUCAGCUCCAGGCUUUCCUCUUAGCUUCUCAUGGUUGCAAUUUUCAGCUUGAUUACCUCUGUAAAGACCCUAUAUUCAAAUAGGACCACAGUCUAAAAUACUAGGGCUUAGGUCUCCAACAUAUCUUUUUGGGGGUCACAAUCCAACCUCUCAACUCCACCUUCUUACAUGGUUGGUGGAGGUCAAGUUCGAGGGGCCAGAGGAUCUCAAAUCCUACCGAGUCUGAGGGUGGACCCUUCCUUCCUUCCUGACCCUGGCUCUGGGUUAACCCUUGCAGGCCCAGGCUGACUGCUUCCCCACAGGCCACAGGAAUGUCUACAGGAGGAUUGACUGCUUUCCAAACCAUGCUGCAUGGUGCUUUUUUGUUCCCUCUUUUUAUUGUUGCUGUUAUUGUCCAAGUAAUUCUAGUUGGCAAAUUACUUUGCUAAAAAACUCAGGAAAACAUUCAUGAAAGGCCACCCAUCACUUUACUGCGCAGCUAUAGCCUCAGUUAACACUUUCAUGUAAUUCCCUCUAGCAUUCCCCACCCCUGUGCACAUACCAAGGUUUUCUUUCUUAACUUUCUUCUUAAUAUAAUUUCAAAAAUAUUUUCCCACGUCUGUAAAAACCUCGAGAAACAUGAUUUAUGUUUUUCCAUUUGACGCAUGUUCAUUGAGUGUCAGGCGUUGGCGAUACAUCAGUGAACAAAACACAAAAUUCUUGUUCUCAGGGGCUCUCUGGAGGGUGAGCGCCAGUGAACAGUGGGGAACCAGACUAGUGCCCUCCUCCCAGCACUGGCCUACGGUCCCCGGUCUGUCCCUGUCAAUGGCUUAUUUAUAUCCUAAGGGCAGAUUCUUCCUGUAAGUUAUGUUGAAAUUGGGAGAACAUUAUAAAUCAACUAUAAUAAAAAAAAACUAAAAAAUAAAACCAUUAAUUAGCUCACAAAGUAAAAGAGCUGACACUAACAGGCAAUUUCUAUGAUCUCUGCAUUAAUUGCCUACUCUGGUACAUGAAGGUGAAUUUAGAUAAAUAAUAGAACUGUAGGAAUAGGUUAUUUGGGUGUUUUUAUAUUGUCUCAUGGUAAACUUGUGCAUAGCCAUGAGCCACUUGUGCUUAUAAAAGAUUUUACUUCAUUAAAUGAUUUCUGCCUCAAAUUUUUGUGUUUCCGGCAUUGGCUGUUUCUAACCUUUCAUUUGUGAUCUCAGGGACAGAAUGUGAUGAAAAAAUAAAACUGUUU
rnacentral:lncRNA from 1 species